AUAUUAGGACAAUUAUAUAUAUAAAGUAGUACCGAGGGCUAAGGCCCGAAUACGUUAAACGGUUGUCCGUGUACGAUCCUCUGCGAGUUGUUUAUCUUCACAGCAGACGAGCGAAUGCGAGGAGUUUGGAGCAUUUUUAAAAUGGGCCAACUUUGUUUAUGCUU
rnacentral:ncRNA from 1 species